UACGAAGGGGGCUAGCGUUGUUCGGAAUCACUGGGCGUAAAGCGCGCGUAGGCGGCUUUUCAAGUCAGGGGUGAAAUCCCACAGCUCAACUGUGGAAUUGCCUUUGAAACUGUAAAGCUAGAGUGUCGGAGGGGAUAGCGGAAUUGCUAAUGUAGAGGUGAAAUUCGUAGAUAUUAGCAGGAACACCGGUGGCGAAGGCGGCUAUCUGGACGACAACUGACGCUGAGGCGCGAAAGCGUGGGGAUCAAACAGG
rnacentral:rRNA from 1 species